rnacentral:rRNA from 1 species
GUAGGUGGCAAGCGUUGUCCGGAAUUAUUGGGCGUAAAGCGCGCGCAGGUGGUUCUUUAAGUCUGAUGUGAAAGCCCCCGGCUCAACCGGGGAGGGUCAUUGGAAACUGGGGAACUUGAGUGCAGGAGAGGAAAGUGGAAUUCCACGUGUAGCGGUGAAAUGCGUAGAUAUGUGGAGGAACACCAGUGGCGAUGGCGACUUUCUGGCCUGUAACUGACACUGAGGCGCGAAAGCGUGGGGAGCAAACAGGGAUUAGAUACCCUGGUAGUCCACGCCGUAAACGAUGAGUGCUAAGUGUUGGGGGGGUUUCCCGCCCCUCAGUGCUGCAGCUAACGCAUUAAGCACUCCGCCUGGGGAUACGGUCGCAAGACUG